GACGAACGCUGGCGGCGUGCUUAACUCAUGCAAGUCGAACGGAAAGGCCCUGCUUUUGUGGGGUGCUCGAGUGGCGAACGGGUGAGUAACACGUGAGAAACCUGCCCUUGACUUUGGGAUAACUUCAGGAAACUGGGGCUAAUACCGGAUAGGAGCUCCUGCUGCAUGGUGGGGGUUGGAAAGUUUCGGCGGUUGGGGAUGGACUCGCGGCUUAUCAGCUUGUUGGUGGGGUAGUGGCUUACCAAGGCUUUGACGGGUAGCCGGCCUGAGAGGGUGACCGGCCACAUUGGGACUGAGAUACGGCCCAGACUCCUACGGGAGGCAGCAGUGGGGAAUAUUGCACAAUGGGCGGAAGCCUGAUGCAGCAACGCCGCGUGCGGGAUGACGGCCUUCGGGUUGUAAACCGCUUUCGCCUGUGACGAAGCGUGAGUGACGGUAAUGGGUAAAGAAGCACCGGCUAACUACGUG
rnacentral:rRNA from 1 species